UACGUAGGGGGCUAGCGUUGUCCGGAAUCAUUGGGCGUAAAGCGCGUGUAGGCGGCUCGGUAAGUCCGCUGUGAAAGUCGGGGGCUCAACCCUCGAAAGCCGGUGGAUACUGUCGAGCUAGAGUGCGGAAGAGGCGAGUGGAAUUCCUGGUGUAGCGGUGAAAUGCGCAGAUAUCAGGAGGAACACCGAUUGCGAAGGCAGCUCGCUGGGACGUAACUGACGCUGAGACGCGAAAGCGUGGGGAGCAAACAGG
rnacentral:rRNA from 1 species